AUACGGGGGGUGCAAGCGUUAUUCGGAUUUAUUGGGCGUAAAGGGCGCGUAGGCGGCUUGGUAAGUCAGAUGUGAAAGCCCGGGGCUUAACCCCGGAAGUGCAUUUGAAACUAUCAGGCUUGAGUAUGGGAGAGGGAAGUGGAAUUCCUGGUGUAGAGGUGAAAUUCGUAGAUAUCAGGAGGAACACCGGUGGCGAAGGCGACUUCCUGGACCAAUACUGACGCUGAGGCGCGAAGGCGUGGGGAGCAAACAGGAUUAGAAACCCCUGUAGUCC
rnacentral:rRNA from 1 species